UACGUAGGGGGCUAGCGUUGUCCGGAUUUAUUGGGCGUAAAGAGCGUGUAGGCGGCCAGGUAGGUCUGCUGUGAAAACUCGAGGCUCAACCUCGAGACGUCGGCGGAAACCAUCUGGCUAGAGUCCGGAAGAGGAGAGUGGAAUUCCUGGUGUAGCGGUGAAAUGCGCAGAUAUCGGGAGGAACACCUGUGGCGAAAGCGGCGCACUGGACCAUAACUGACGCUGAGGCGCGAAAGCUAGGGGAGCAAACAGG
rnacentral:rRNA from 1 species